UUCCAGACUCCUACGGGAGGCAGCAGUGGGGAAUAUUGCACAAUGGGGGAAACCCUGAUGCAGCAACGCCGCGUGAGUGAAGAAGUAUUUCGAUAUGUAAAGCUCUAUCAGCAGGGAAGAAGAUGACGGUACCUGACCAAGAAGCCCCGGCUAACUACGUGCCAGCAGCCGCGGUAAUACGUAGGGGGCAAGCGUUAUCCGGAUUUACUGGGUGUAAAGGGAGCGUAGACGGCCAUGCAAGUCUGAUGUGAAAACCCGGGGCUCAACCCCGGGACUGCAUUGGAAACUGUGCGGCUGGAGUGUCGGAGAGGCAAGUGGAAUUCCUAGUGUAGCGGUGAAAUGCGUAGAUAUUAGGAGGAACACCGGUGGCGAAGGCGGCUUACUGGACCAUAACUGACGUUGAGGCUCGAAAGCGUGGGGAGCGAACAGGAUUAGAUACCCCAGUA
rnacentral:rRNA from 1 species